AAGUCGUAACAAGGUAACCGUAGGUGAACCUGCGGUUGGAUCAUUAACAAUUAUUAUUGAAUCCUCCCCCUUCCCCUUCACCGGGGCCGGGUGGUAGGUUCUCUAACACUUGUGUGCACUGUUUAUUGUCUCUCGGCGUUCGAGGGUUGGGGUGUUUAGGAGCUUCUAGCUCUUGGGCGUCCCUUGGGCUUUUUUUUUAAACCUACCCCCGAGCGUCAACUUAAACUUGAUUUUAUUUAUACUAUAAGCCUUUAAUUUUAAAUUUAUUAAUUUGAAAACAACUUUUAACAACGGAUCUCUAGGCUCUCA
rnacentral:misc_RNA from 1 species